rnacentral:rRNA from 1 species
AUGAGGGGCGCUAUCAUGCAGUCGAGCGAAUGAAGAGGAGCUUGCUCCUCUGAUUUAGCGGCGGACGGGUGAGUAACACGUGGGUAAUCUGCCUGUAAGACGGGGAUAACUCCGGGAAACCGGGGCUAAUACCGGAUAAUAAGAAGAAACGCAUGUUUCUUUUUUGAAAGUCGGUUUCGGCUGACACUUACAGAUGAGCCCGCGGCGCAUUAGCUAGUUGGUGAGGUAACGGCUCACCAAGGCGACGAUGCGUAGCCGACCUGAGAGGGUGAUCGGCCACACUGGGACUGAGACACGGCCCAGACUCCUACGGGAGGCAGCAGUAGGGAAUCUUCGGCAAUGGGCGAAAGCCUGACCGAGCAACGCCGCGUGAGCGAUGAAGGCCUUCGGGUCGUAAAGCUCUGUUGUUAGAGAAGAACAAGUACGAGAGUAACUGCUCGUACCUUGACGGUACCUAACCAGAAAGCCACGGCUAACUACGUGCCAGCAGCCGCGGUAAUACGUAGGUGGCAAGCGUUAUCCGGAAUUAUUGGGCGUAAAGCGCGCGCAGGCGGUCUCUUAAGUCUGAUGUGAAAGCCCACGGCUCAACCGUGGAGGGUCAUUGGAAACUGGGAGACUUGAGUGCAGGAGAGAAAAGUGGAAUUCCACGUGUAGCGGUGAAAUGCGUAGAGAUGUGGAGGAACACCAGUGGCGAAGGCGGCUUUUUGGCCUGUAACUGACGCUGAGGCGCGAAAGCGUGGGGAGCAAACAGGAUUAGAUACCCUGGUAGUCCACGCCGUAAACGAUGAGUGCUAGGUGUUGGGGGGUUCCACCCUCAGUGCUGAAGUUAACACAUUAAGCACUCCGCCUGGGGAGUACGACCGCAAGGUUGAAACUCAAAGGAAUUGACGGGGGCCCGCACAAGCAGUGGAGCAUGUGGUUUAAUUCGAAGCAACGCGAGGAACCUUAC